rnacentral:tRNA from 1 species
CGCCAACGGGCUGGCCACCCAGGCCUACAUCCUGAGCGUGGACGCCGACGAGGUUCCCUCCGCGGAACUGGCCCGUUCCAUCCGGGCGGCGGCGGCC